rnacentral:rRNA from 1 species
ACGGAGGAUGCAAGCGUUAUCCGGAUUUAUUAGGUUUAAAGGGUGCGUAGGCGGAGACUUAAGUCAGUGGUAAAAGGCAAUAGCUUAACUAAUGUAAGCCAUUGAUACUGGGUUUCUUGAGUUCGGUAGAGGUAGGCGGAAUGUGUUGUGUAGCGGUGAAAUGCAUAGAUAUAACACAGAACACCGAUUGCGAAGGCAGCUUACUAUGCCGUUACUGACGCUGAUGCACGAAAGCGUGGGGAUCAAACAG